rnacentral:misc_RNA from 1 species
CGACCAACAUACUCAGUCCUAGGGACAUGGGUUAAGCUCUCGAUCACAACGUAAUCAGCAUCGUCCAAGCUGAUUCCUUUAUAUUACCAUUACUACUAAUAGUGUUUAAUUUAAUUUAAUUAAUCACCUCGCUAAAAGUAUCAAUGAACCAACGAGUCUGGAAUCCUGCAAACUGGCUGAAAUUUACAGUGGACAAAAAGACAAAAACAACCCCAUUAUCAAUUAGCCCUGUUUUGUCUGCUAGUUUCACGUGAUUUCCUCCACCCACCCUCCAUGAUCCCAAUCCCAAGUACUGAAAAAAAAAAAAAAACUUAAAAAACACUUCCAAUACUUCCACCAUAUACCACCCAAACUACAACACAAUUCAAACAAAACCAAUCACUUCAAAUAAAGUUACUAAUAUCAAUAGGAGCAGUAAAGCCACUAUUGCAAUAGGACUGCUCACCAAUAAUAGUUAUGCAUAUAAUCAUAUCAUCAAUAAUAACUUGAUUGGCUCCAAUGUUAUCGCUGGCGGAUAGGCACGGAUUCAUCACCUAUAUUCCUAGCAGCAAUCCUGAUUUUGUGGACAACUAUAGAGGGAGAACCAGAGAGAGAAAGAGAGAGAGAGAGGAGAAGGUUUAUAGUGUAACAAAACAGGAGGGAGCCUUUAACUUUUCUACAUCUACUGGUUACGCGCUUAGGCUUACCAAUAGCUGAAUCAAGGAGAUAAGAG